CCUCUCGAUCGAUGCCCUAGCUGCGUGCCAACAUUUGACCUCCAUCCCGAGACCUAGCUACUCCGCCACCGUCAACCUCGCCGUCGUCUGAGGUAAGUGAUCCUUUUUCUUCAAAAAUUAAUGACACUCGACAACAUUUUCUUUCAACAAAUUAGAAAUUACCAACCUGCAAUAACCCAUUCAUUUUUGUACAUUUGGUGUCUGCAGCCAGUAACAGGCCUCCGCAAAGCUUUCGUGUAUUAUUUCAUUUCUAAUUCAUUUUUAUACGUCUCACAACUUUAUGAUAGCCUAAUUUCGUAUUGGUAUGAACAAGAAAGAUCCGGUUUCUUCUUAUUUAAAUUUUUGGUUGUUUCUUCUUUUCCUUUUAAGGGUUGCUUUUUUAUGUCAUGUGCAAGAUGAUUCUUCUUCUUGUUCAUGAGUCCAUUUGACAUGCCACAAAUCUGAUGGCAGACUCUGUCUAAUUUUUGGUUUUAAAGAAUUUGUCUAGAUCUUAAGAUUAGGUCAUGUCUAUAGUAUGGUUAGCUAGUUCCUUUGCUUCUUUUCUUUUUAUGCAUAGUUCCUUUUUCCUUGCGUGCUGUCUGUCUUCGGAGCACUGGUGGGCUUUAGAAAAUGUUUGAAGUUAAUAAUAUACCAAUGGUGUAGCUCUGUCUUUAAAAGUUAGGAGGUGGAAGUAUUGAUCUCCAACUAGUUUCUGAAAUUGUCUCUUUUUUUUGUGUGUGAGAACUGGUUUGAAGGGCCCUAUGACUGUGUGUAUAGCUGAAAAAGCUCCAUUGCAUGGAUUUCUAUAGGAGGGAUUGAGAGGACUAGGGGAUAAUUGAUGGUGUUGGGUUUUUAAUGAUUAAGAAGGGGUUGGUGUAAUGGUUGUGGAUCUUGGAAUGCAUCAUUGCAUGUGCCUCCACAUGCCUUCCAAUUCUAGCAGUGGUGGCAGAUUUUUGAAACUUGGGAUAAUGAUGGAGAAUAACACUUAUUGUCAAGAAUUCCAGCCACUUUCUGAUUUUUUUUUUUUAUUUUUUCUUUUGUUUUCUUGAAGGGUGGAAACCUGGAACUGCCCUAAACUGUUGGCUUUGAGAAGGGGUGGUAGGGUACUAUAGCUUUGACCCCAAACAAAAGCACAAACUUUUGACCCACAAACUGGUCUCUCUAUUUAAACACAACUUAAAGCUGUAGGGCUUUAUCUUAGCAUGCUAUGGGAUGGCUGAAACUGGUCUUUGCACUUUGUCCUGAAAAGGUUUGAUCUACGUUCCAUUUUUCCAGCCAAAGCCUUUCAUAAGCAAGAAAAAUCUCACUCCUUGUAGCCCCAGCUGAAGGAAACAAGUAGUGCCAAUUCACUGACAAAACAAGAUUAAAAGCUUUCUGACAAAAGCAAUAUGGUGCUUUGCCUAAUCACAGAUGCAUUGAUCAAAGAUAUUAAUUACUAUAAUAUUAAUUAUUAUAAUUUUUAUAAUAUUAUAUCAUAAACUUAGGUGUUAGAUUUUGAUAUAUAUGUGGUGGUCAAGUUCGAGGGUGAUGGUUUGGGAUUUGAUGGCAGUGUAUAUAAGAUCUGAGCUUGAGGUAUUAAAAGACUGAGAUCGAAGUGAAAGAACAGAGAUGCAACUUUGUCUGCAAUGAGAAGCGAUUCUGAUAAUGCAUCAGAUUCUCUAGAGAACUUAAAAGUAAUUAAACUUGAGGACCUUAGAUGAUUUUAGGAGUAAGUGGACUGCAAUACAAGGAAAUUGAGUUUGGUGAUUUGCAUAUGGAAGGUGGUUUAGGAGUUGUCCCAUCACGAGUUUCUAUGCUGUCAUGACCAAGGAGUAAGUGGACUGACAUACCAAGUAUGAUGCCAUAUAUUGGUGGAUGGGUUUGGUAACAAUAUGCCCCUGGUUUUUAUGCUACACCAUGUGUAUGUGAGUUUAUUAUAUACUUUUAGACCCUUCUGUAACUCUUUAUUGUUUCCAUCUCUCCAACAAUGUCUUCCACAGCAUUUGUGGCUAAGUUCAUGAGCAUCUACAAGGGGUUCCUCAUUGCAACAUUUUCCUGAAUGAUCGCGAGCAGGAGUAACCCCACUAAAAGUUUUUGACAUUGGGAGGACUCUUCAUGUUUGCAUCGUCACCAAGCAGCUGAUGUUUAGCUUGAUCCCUUUGUUUAUUUUCUUUCUAAUAUGGUGGAAAAACCUGUGAAUUGUAUUAAUCUAGCGGCCCCAAACCUUGUAUUCCCAAAGAUUAAAAAAGGGACCUUGUCUGCCAUACA